rnacentral:lncRNA from 1 species
GCCUCCAUUCUGCCUGCUAGCAUCAAAACCAAUAAAUACAUUAUGCUGUAACUCCUGAUGCAGAGUGAACUGCUGAUAGUCAAAAUUAGUAUUUCCUUCCAGACAAUUCAAUGCAGCAUGUUGCACUCCUGUGGAAAGAGAGCUUUUAUAUCGCUCAGACCCUAGAAAUCCAUGUUCUGGUAGUUCUUGAGACACAAAAUAUUCCUGCAUGACAAGCCAGCAAACUUUAGAUAAUUAUCAUCACCAUUCUGUCCAUAUUGGCAGUGGAACACUUUAACAAGAUUUAAACAAUGUUAGUUUGGGAAACAUAGAAAAUAAAACUUGAAUUAUAUUCAGUCCCGCAAUGUAUAAUGAUAACCAUACCCACAAAAAAAAAGAAUGACAACAUGAUUUGAUCAAUAAGAUUCAACAAGAAAUAAAAGGAGAUUACAUAGGUAACAUCGUAUUUCACAAUGUAAUGUGUUUUUAUAUGGCUCAAUAAGAUAAUCAUAUUCAAUUUCUUAACAGCGUUGAAGAUAAAUUGAUUUAAAAUAAAGAAUGGGGAUAAGAAGGUCCGUAGUACCAGUACCGCUCAGCGUACCAGUGGCGGCCCGUACCAGUCCGUACCGGUGGCGUACCGGUCCAAACCGGUUCCGUACCGGUUCUUUAACAAUAAACUACCGGUACCGGAUUCCACGCUGAUCCGGUACCAGUCCGGCCGAAUCCGGUACCGGUCCCAGGCCGGACCGG